GUUAGCAUAGUAUAGUGGUUUGAGCAUUGGACUAUGACUCUGGAGACCAGGGUUUGAAUCCCUGCUUGGCCA